CCAGGGGAGUGCACCUCCUUGGGUUUACUUAUUGAUUGCUAUUUGUUUGUUUUUGUUUACCAAACUCUCGGCGCGGUGAAUGGCAAUAAAGAGGGAAUUAAUGUAAUCGAAAUCAAUUUUUCGGCACUCCUUAAAAAAUAAGGAAAACAAGCUCUUAUAACUAACUCAGCUAGGCCGCUUGGUUUGACUUUUGAACACGGCUGCGACUCCUUUGUUGUUACCGUUGUAUUAACAACUGCAGCCAGCGGACAGUUGCCUUUCUUGCGGAACGAUUUUACUUUGAGCGACUUUAGCUCUACCCUUUUUUGAAGCUACUUUUGAAGGGUAUGAUACAGAAAAACUGUUGUUUUCGAAGCUAAACGGCCCAAAUGAAGGCUUGGUAGCGGUUAUUCCAGUUCACCUAAUUUCCUGCCUUAACACCAAGUGAUUCCAUUAACUUUAUGCAGGUGUAAAGAGAUUGCGUACGGGAGUAGUGUUAACGACGACACCGUUCUCUACGUUUUCGUUAUAGUUGUUGUUGGUAUCCUUUUUAAUUAAUAUUAGUUAAUUAUUAUCGACUUUGAUUUUCCCUUAAUUACAGUCACUCCGGAAACUUUGUAAUAUUAUAAAAC